AACUUUGUAGCAGCCACAGCAUUCCAGAGGGUAGUGUCCUGUUUGAAAGAGAACUAACAAAUACUCUUUCAGAAGAUGAACUGACAGAUAAUAAAAUGAACAGAAAACAAAGCAAUAAUUAUGGAUCCCAGUCUAGUGUAAAUACCAUUGGAACAGAAGACUAUGUUGACACAUUUCAGGAUAUGAUUGUUAAACAUGUUGCAGGAGUGCCUUUGUUGCACUUUGACGAUGUGACUAUAGACAGUGACUUG